AGUGAACGCUGGCGGUAGGCCUAACACAUGCAAGUCGAACGGCAGCACAGUAAGAGCUUGCUCUUACGGGUGGCGAGUGGCGGACGGGUGAGGAAUACAUCGGAAUCUACUUUUUCGUGGGGGAUAACGUAGGGAAACUUACGCUAAUACCGCAUACGACCUACGGGUGAAAGCAGGGGAUCUUCGGACCUUGCGCGAUUGAAUGAGCCGAUGUCGGAUUAGCUAGUUGGCGGGGUAAAGGCCCACCAAGGCGACGAUCCGUAGCUGGUCUGAGAGGAUGAUCAGCCACACUGGAACGGAGACACGGUCCAGACUCCUACGGGAGGCAGCAGUGGGGAAUAUUGGACAAUGGGCGCAAGCAUGAUCCAGCCAUACCGCGUGGGUGAAGAAGGCCUUCGGGUUGUAAGGCCCUUUUGUUGGGAAAGAAAAGCAGCAGGUUAAUACCCCGCUGUUCUGACGGUACCCAAAGAAUAAGCACCGGCUAACUUCGUG
rnacentral:rRNA from 1 species